rnacentral:rRNA from 1 species
UGGGGAAUAUUGGACAAUGGGGGCAACCCUGAUCCAGCAAUUCUGUGUGCACGAUGAAGGUCUUCGGAUUGUAAAGUGCUUUCAGCAGGGAAGAAAAAAAUGACGGUACCUGCAGAAGAAGCGACGGCUAAAUACGUGCCAGCAGCCGCGGUAAUACGUAUGUCGCGAGCGUUAUCCGGAAUUAUUGGGCAUAAAGGGCAUCUAGGCGGCCGGAUAAGUCUGGGGUGAAAACUUGCGGCUCAACCGCAAGCCUGCCCUGGAAACUAUGCGGCUAGAGUACUGGAGAGGUGGACGGAACUGCACGAGUAGAGGUGAAAUUCGUAGAUAUGUGCAGGAAUGCCGAUGAUGAAGAUAGUUCACUGGACGGUAACUGACGCUGAAGUGCGAAAGCUAGGGGAGCAAACAGGAUUAGAUACCCUGGUAGUCCUAGCUGUAAACGAUGAUUACUGGGUGUGGGCAUGAAGAGUGUCCGUGCCGAAGCAAAUGCGAUAANUAAUCCGCCUGGGGAGUACGGCCGCAAGGCU